CUUUGCCAGCUAUGAGGUUCUCCCAAGGAUGAACUGGAUCACUACUGAAUAUGGUGGCCAUAAAAUUGACAAAGUUCUCAAGAGGUUUGGGAGCAACAUCAUCUUCUCCAACGGGAUGCGAGACCCGUGGAGUCGAGGGGGGGUUCUCAAGAACAUAUCAUCCAGCAUCAUUGCUCUUGUCACAGAGAAAGGGGCCCAUCAUUUGGA